CUACGGAGGGUGCAAGCGUUAUCCGGAAUCAUUGGGUUUAAAGGGUGCGCAGGCGGAUAAUUAAGUCAGUGGUGAAAUCCCGGGGCUCAACCCCGGAACUGCCAUUGAUACUGAUAAUCUGGAAUACGGUUGAAGUGGGCGGAAUGUAGAAUGUAGCGGUGAAAUGCAUAGAGAUGCUACAGAACACCGAUCGCGAAGGCAGCUCACUAAACCGAUAUUGACGCUCAGGCACGAAAGCGUGGGGAGCGAACAGGAUUAGAAACCCUAGUAGUCC
rnacentral:rRNA from 1 species